UACGAAGGGGGCUAGCGUUGUUCGGAAUCACUGGGCGCAAAGCGCACGUAGGCGGAUGUGCCAGUCAGGGGUGAAAUCCCGGAGCUCAACUUCGGAACUGCCUCUGAUACAGCACGUCUUGAGUCCGGAAGAGGUGGGUGGAAUUCCUAGUGUAGAGGUGAAAUUCGUAGAUAUUAGGAAGAACACCGGUGGCGAAGGCGGCCCACUGGUCCGGUACUGACGCUGAGGUGCGAAAGCGUGGGGAGCAAACAGG
rnacentral:rRNA from 1 species